UGCAGUCUGGGACACGUAGUUGCAAACCUAGCGACUUUGUUGUUAGAUUCAAUGACUUUUCAGACCCCCUAACGACUUUUUUUUUUAGAAAGAAAGGGACUUUUAUCGACUUCUUCUGGAGUUUAGAGACUCUGACAUGAAGCAGGCUUUCCUUACUGAGGAGUUAGCAAUGCUGCUAAGGGUGCAGAGCCACACAUGCGCUCAGAGCUCUGCAUGGGAGACUGAAGCUGACAGAGCUGCAGCAGUUAGCAGGUUUCACCCUCAGAGACCACCAGGGGUUCAUGUUGAGGCAUUUUAAAAAAAAUUUUUUUGUGCCAUAGACACUGUCAGCACAAUCUGCAGUUACACUAACAAAAAUGCUGCAAAAAACAAAGAAUUAUGGAAAAAUUACACAUGGACUGACAUAGAGGAGGAUCUACACAAGUUUUUUACAUCAUGUUUUACAUCAUGCAUCAUUUACAUCAUGUUUUUUUGUAGUGGCAUAAAUAAAAAGUGACAUUUGUGAGACUAUACAGUGUUUUGUAAAUAAUUUUACAAAGAACGCCUGGGCCAUUGCCUGCAUUUUGAUGUAAAUAGAGGUAAAUCACUAUGUUCUUUGUUAAAAAUUUGCAUAUGUUUUGAAGUUUACAAUUUUUAUUUGAAGUUUAAGUUUUAAAAACAGUUCAUCACACAUAUUUGUGGUUUUCACAGUAAAAAUGUUACUUUUUUCCACUCGGAUUUUAUGUUUUGUGUGUGAAUUUGGGUCCAUUGUGUAAAUUCAGUAUGUCAACAUGAUAAAAUAACUGUAAAUUCGCACAGGUGAGGUUGUGCUGAAAAAAAUGAUACCAGGCAAGGCAAGGUAAAAAUUUUGUAAGAGGAAAUAUAAAGGUAAAAUCUAAAGUAGUCAAAAACGGCCAAUAGUGACUCACAGACUCCACAGACAAGUCCCUUUGGCGCCACUCAGUGGGCAAAACUACUUUGUCUACUGUAAUGUAUAUUUGGGUCAUCUUUGGCGCCCCCUAAAUCGUAAACCGUGGGGUGCAGCGUCAUGAUUUUUACAACUUUGAAUGGCCAUGGAGUGUAGAUUGGCCUGAGCAAAUUUGGUGUCAGUGGGACGAAAGCCUUAGGAGGAGUUAGCGAAAUUCCAAUGUGUGCGAAUCGGCAAAAAAUGCAAAAUAGCCCUUUUACCGUACAUUAUACAGAUACGCGCUCUUUGACUUUUUCGUAGAUCUAAUUGAGAUACACAUGAUUGUCAAUUUUUGUGUCAUUUUGCCAAAGCGUACAGGCGUGACAGUCAACAAUGUGUAUUUUCACCUUAGGGGACAAGAAAAAAUGGACUUUUUUCUCCUGCCAUGGGGGGGCGCUCUUUUAGGGAGUAAAAAUUCCUUCACAAAUGUGUUGAUGGCUGGACAUUGCAUCAUCCUAGAAAACUGUGGCCAGUGAGGACAAAAAUAAAAAGUUAUAAGACUUUUAAAAAUGUGGAUUUUUGGGUUAUCUUUGGCGCCCCCUAGAACCUAAACCGUGGGGUGCAGCGUCAUGAUUUGAAUAACUUUUAAUGGCCAUGGGGUGUAAUUUGGCCUGAGCAAAUGUGGUGCCGGUGGAACAAAAGCCUUCGGAGGAGUUAGCGAAAUUCCAAUGUGUGCGAAUCGGCAAAAAAUGCGGAAUAACCCUUUAACCGUACAUUUGACAGAUACGCGUGCAUGGACUUUUUUGUAGAUCUUAUUGAGAUACAUGUGUGUGUCAAUUUUUGUGUCAUUUUGACAAAGCGUACAGGCGUGACACUCAACAAUGUGUAUUUUCACCUUAGGGGACAAGAAAAAAUGGACUUUUUUCUCUUGCCAUGGGGGGGCGCUCUUUUGGGGAGUAAAAAUUCCUUCACAAAUGUGUUGAUGGCUGGACAUUGCAUCAUCCUAGAAAACCUGGAGGCCAGUGAGGGCAAAAAUAAAAAGUUAUAAGACUUUUAAAUAUGUGGAUUUUAGGGUUAUCUUUGGCGCCCCCUAGAACCUAAACCGUGGGGUGCAGCGUCAUGAUUUGAAUAACUUUUAAUGGCCAUGGGGUGUAGAUUGGCCUGAGCAAAUGUGGUGCCGGUGGAACGAAAGCCUUCGGAGGAGUUAGCGAAAUUCCAAUGUGUGCGGAUCGGCAAAAAAUGCGAAAUAACCCUUUAACCGUACAUUUGACAGAUACGCCCGCACUGACUUUUUUGUAGAUCUUAUUGAGAUACAUGUGUGUGUCAAUUUUUGUGUCAUUUUGACAAAGCGUACAGGCGUGACAGUCAAUAGUGUGAAUUUUCACCUUAGGGGGCGCUAUGGAGCCAUUUUGCAUUUUCUUGUUUGGGCGACUUCGGAAUAUCAAAUUUUUCACCAGGCCCGGUCGUCCUGCCAAAUUUCAUGAGUUUUCGCCAGUGGGAAGUGGGCCAUUUUCCAGUUCAAAGGGGAGGAAAAAGAAAAAAGAAACAAAGAAAAACCACUUGGGGAAUAAUAGGGCUCUCGCAGCUGCUUAGCAGCUACGCUCGGGCCCUAAAGAAACAAGAAAAACCACUUGGGGAAUAAUAGGGCUCUCGCAGCUGCUUAGCAGCUACGCUCGGGCCCUAAAAAUAAAAAUAUAUAUUUGGGGUGUUCGGGCAUCCUGAAGGUAAUACCCAGGUAUUAGGUUAUGGGGCUAGGGUAAGGUUUAAGGUUUUUGGCGUGAGGGUAAAAAUCACUGUCCAAAACCUUUGUAGGAACUCUUUUCCAACCUUUGGGAUUAAGUUAGACAAAAAAAAAAAAGAUAAAUGAAAAAAAAUAUUUGGGGUGUUCGGGCUUCCUGAAGGUAAUACCCAGGUAUUAGGUUUUGGGGCUAGGGUUAGGUUUAAGGUUUUUGGCGUUAGGGUCAAAAUAACUGUCCAAUAUUUUUUAAGGAACAUGUUUAAGACCUUUGGGAGUUGGUUACACCAAAAAAAAAAAGUAAAAUUAAAAAAAAAUAUAUUUGGGGUGUUCGGGCUUCCUGAAGGUAAUACCUGGGUAUUAGGUUUUGGGGCUAGGGUAAGGUUUAAGGUUUUUGGUGUUAGGGUUAAAAUCACUGUCCAAAACCUUUGUAGGAACUCUCUCCAACCUUUUGGAGUUAGUUAGACCAAAAAAAACAAAAGAAAAAAAAAUAUAUUUGGGGUCUUCGGGCUUCCUGAAGGAAAUACCCAGGUAUUAGGUUAUGGGGCUAGGGUAAGGUUUAAGGUUUUUGGCGUUAGGGUUAAAAUCACUGUCCAAAACCUUUUUAGAAACAUGUUUCAGACCUUUUGGAGUUGGUUACACCAAAAAAAAAUGUAAAAUGAAAAAAAAAAUAUUUGGGGUCUUCGGGCUUCCUGAAGGAAAUACCCAGGUAUUAGGUUAUGGGGCUAUAGUAAGGUUUAAGGUUUUUGACGUUAGGGUUAAAAUCACUGUCCAAAACCUUUGUAGGAACUAUUUUCCAACGUUUUGGAGUUAGUUAGACCAAAAAAAAAACAGAAAAUGAAAAAAAAAAAUUGGGGUUUUCGGGCUUCCUGAAGGUAAUACCCGGGUAUUAGGUUUUGGGGCUAGGGUUAGGUUUAAGGUUUUUGGCGUUAGGGUUAAAAUCACUGUCCAAUAUUUUUUAAGGAACAUGUUUCAGACCUUUGGGAGUUAGUUAGACAAAAAAAAAAAGAAAAAGAAAAAAAAAUUUGGGGUGUUCGGGCUUCCUGAAGGUAAUACCCGGGUAUUAGGUUAUGGGGCUAGGGUAAGGUUUAAGGUUUUUGGCGUUAGAGUUAAAAUCAGUGUCCAAAACCUUUUUAGGAACAUGUUUAAGACCUUUUGGAGUUGGUUACACCAAAAAAAAUGUAAAAUGAAAAAAAAAAUAUUUGGGGUGUUCGGGCUUCCUGAAGGUAAUACCCGGGUAUUAGGUUUUGGGGCUAGGGUAAGGUUUAAGGUUUUUGGUGUUAGGGUUAAAAUCACCGUCCAAAACCUUUGUAGGAACUCUUUUCCGACCUUUUGGAGUUAGUUAGACCAAAAAAAAAGAAAAAAGAAAAAACUAGGGCCCCGUUGGGGCACUGGCGGGCCCGAGCUGUGUCGCGCCGCCCCCAACACGACCGCCUCUCCCUCCCGAUCGCAUCACACUCAAGGUCCAAAGAUGGUGUUCGCACUUGUCUGUGGUCAUUUACCAUUAUAAUGAAUGGGAGGCGCAGUUUCUGCCAAAACGCUCGCUGCAGACAAACUACAUGUCCUAUUUGAAAAAAGUCUGGAUCAUGAGUGAGGGCACAAACACAGCUAGGAUAUAUCCAAAUGGCAAGUUGCUCCUCCUUUCGGAGGAGUUUGAACACAUGACAUGUGUUUGAGCCAUUGAGCGAUGGGCAGGAAAAACUUGACUUUUUCUCCUGCCAUGGGGGGGCGCUCUUUUGGGGAGUAAAAAUUCCUUCACAAAUGUGUUGAUGGCUAGACAAUGCAUCAUCCUAGAAAACUUGGAAGCCAGUGAGGACAAAAAUGAAAAGUUAUAAGACUUUUAAGAAUGUGGAUUUUUGGGUUAUCUUUGGCGCCCCCUAGAAUGUAAACCGUGUGGUGCAGCGUCAUGAUUUGUACAACUUUUAAUGGCCAUGGGGUGUAGAUUGGCCUGAGCAAAUGUGGUGCCGGUGGAACGAAAGCCUUCGGAGGAGUUAGCGAAAUUCCAAUGUGUGCGGAUCGGCAAAAAAUGCGAAAUAGCCCUUUAACCGUACAUUUGACAGAUACGUGCGCAUAGAAUUUUUG